rnacentral:rRNA from 1 species
GACAGAGGAGCCAAGCGUUGUCCGGAAUUAUUGGGCGUAAAGAGCUCGUAGGCGGUUUGUCGCGUCUGCUGUGAAAACCCGAGGCUCAACCUCGGGCCUGCAGUGGGUACGGGCAAACUAGAGUGCGGUAGGGGAGAAUGGAAUUCCUGGUGUAGCGGUGGAAUGCGCAGAUAUCAGGAGGAACACCGAUGGCGAAGGCAGUUCUCUGGGCCGUAACUGACGCUGAGGAGCGAAAGCGUGGGGAGCGAGCAGG